rnacentral:rRNA from 1 species
GUCCACACUGUAAACGAUGAAUGCUAGGUGUAGGGGUAUCGACCCCUUCUGUGCCGCAGUCAACACAAUAAGCAUUCCGCCUGGGGAGUACGGCCGCAAGGUUGAAACUCAAAGGAAUAGACGGGGACCCGCACAAGCGGUGGAGCAUGUGGUUUAAUUCGACGAUACACGAAGAACCUUACCUGGACUUGACAUAGUAAGAACUUUCUAGAGAUAGAUUGGUGUCUGCUUGCAGAAACUUAUAUACAGGUGCUGCACGGCUGUCGU